rnacentral:rRNA from 1 species
GACGAACGCUGGCGGCGUGCUUAACACAUGCAAGUCGAACGGAAAGGCCCUGCUUGCAGGGUACUCGAGUGGCGAACGGGUGAGUAACACGUGGGUGAUCUGCCCUGCACUUCGGGAUAAGCCUGGGAAACUGGGUCUAAUACCGGAUAGGAGCCAUUUUUAGUGUGAUGGUUGGAAAGUUUUCUCGGUGUAGGAUGAGCUCGCGGCCUAUCAGCUUGUUGGUGGGGUAAUGGCCUACCAAGGCGGCGACGGGUAGCCGGCCUGAGAGGGUGGACGGCCACAUUGGGACUGAGAUACGGCCCAGACUCCUACGGGAGGCAGCAGUGGGGAAUAUUGCACAAUGGGCGCAAGCCUGAUGCAGCGACGCCGCGUGGGGGAUGACGGCCUUCGGGUUGUAAACUCCUUUCGCUAGGGACGAAGCUUUUUGUGACGGUACCUAGAUAAGAAGCACCGGCUAACUACGU